rnacentral:lncRNA from 1 species
ACUGGCACUGUUUUCAGAAAUAACGGGCGAUAUGCUGGACGACGAAGCGUCAGGGAGCACUGUCACCAACGAGAAUACGCCGCCUGCUUCGGUAGAGCCAACAAGCUCAGCAGCGUCCGGGGCUGGUACAUAUGAGUUUGCUCCAUGCCGAAACGCGACUACACGCAGUGAGCGAGUACAAGGAAAGCGCAAGCAAGACCACAUUGAUUACGAUUCCUUGCGAGAGCUGAUGGCGCAUGACAUG